rnacentral:ncRNA from 1 species
UUCUUCGGGGCAGGGUGUAAUUCCCUACCGGCGGUCACAGUCCGCGACCCAUGAGUGCCAUACCGUAUGGCCCGUGGCUGAUUUGGUGAAAUUCCAAAACCGACAGUAAAGUCUGGAUGAGAGAAGAA